CAAGUCGUAACAAGGUAUCCGUAGGUGAACCUGCGGAUGGAUCAUUACAGAAGAGAUUAUAUUCUCUACGUUUUGUGAAUGGUUUGGGGGUGUUUGGGUGUGUGGUUUUUAGGGGGAUGACCUCUGGGCCCACACGCUCUCUUGAUUACACGUAUUUUCCCUACUGAAGUCGUCUAUCACAUUGCAGUGAGAAACUGAAACAACUUUUAGCAACGGAUCUCUUGGCUCUC
rnacentral:misc_RNA from 1 species